UUCAAUUAUUCUCCCAUAUCCUCUAAAUUAAUUGUGGAAUAAUUAGUUUCCCUAACUCUAUAAAUAGGGACUUAACAAAAUCCCUAGCCCUAGCCACCCUCAAAUCACACGCCCACUUCUCAAAUCACACGCCCCCUCCCACUUUUCAUCUCCUCCCACACUUGUUCAUCCAUUCUACUCAAGAUCCCAUCAAUUCCCCAAGAGAUUAUUGAAGAACCAAGGUUUUGUUCGCUUUCUACCGAUUGUUUCGUCCAAGAGAGGUGAUAAUUCGUGCGCUAAACGUGAUAUCAAAGGAAAAGCGAUACUUGAAAUCUAAACGGUCGAGGUUGAGCAGCGACGAGCGGUUGGUGGUGUUGAGCAGAAAUAAUAAUAUGGUUAUUUUGAAACUUCGAGUGUCGUUGUGUCUUCACACAUGACUUCACUCUUCUCUUGGAUGCUUCCGCUGUGAUAUUAUCUUUACUUAUAUUUUUAUUUAACUAUGAAACUGUUUGAUUGAAUGUUGAAAUCUCGUACCCUUUUUUUAUAAAUGUCAAACCUUUGGUCUUUGCUUUUAUUUUAAA